GACGAACGCUGGCGGCGUGCCUAAUACAUGCAAGUAGAACGGUGAAGGAGGAGCUUGCUCUUCUGGAUGAGUUGCGAACGGGUGAGUAACGCGUAGGUAACCUGCCUGGUAGCGGGGGAUAACUAUUGGAAACGAUAGCUAAUACCGCAUAACAGUAGAUGUUGCAUGACAUUUACUUAAAAGGUGCAAUUGCAUCACUACCAGAUGGACCUGCGUUGUAUUAGCUAGUUGGUGGGGUAACGGCUCACCAAGGCGACGAUACAUAGCCGACCUGAGAGGGUGAUCGGCCACACUGGGACUGAGACACGGCCCAGACUCCUACGGGAGGCAGCAGUAGGGAAUCUUCGGCAAUGGACGGAAGUCUGACCGAGCAACGCCGCGUGAGUGAAGAAGGUUUUCGGAUCGUAAAGCUCUGUUGUAAGAGAAGAACGAGUGUGAGAGUGGAAAGUUCACACUGUGACGGUAUCUUACCAGAAAGGGACGGCUAACUACGUG
rnacentral:rRNA from 1 species